rnacentral:rRNA from 1 species
ACCCAAUAGAUACCCUGGUAGUCCACGCCGUAAACGUUGGGCACUAGGUGUGGGGUCUUUCCAACGGAUUCCGUGCCGUAGCUAAACGCAUUAAAGUGCCCCGCCUGGGGAGUACGGCCGCAAGGCUAAAACUCAAAGGAAUUGACGGGGGCCCGCACAAGCGGCGGAGCAUGUUGCUUAAUUCGAGGCAACGCGAAGAACCUUACCUGGGUUUGACAUGCUGGGAGAAGCCACAGAGAUGUGGUGUCCUGGGUCGUCAGCACAGGUGGUGCAUGGCUGUCGUCAGCUCGUGUCGUGAGAUG